rnacentral:rRNA from 1 species
AUUGAACGCUGGCGGCAUGCCUUACACAUGCAGGUCGAACGGCAGCACGGGAGCAAUCCUGGUGGCGAGUGGCGAACGGGUGAGUAAUAUAUCGGAACGUGCCCAGUCGUGGGGGAUAACGUAGCGAAAGCUACGCUAAUACCGCAUACGAUCUAUGGAUGAAAGCGGGGGAUCGCAAGACCUCGCGCGAUUGGAGCGGCCGAUAUCAGAUUAGGUAGUUGGUGAGGUAAAGGCUCACCAAGCCGACGAUCUGUAGCUGGUCUGAGAGGACGACCAGCCACACUGGGACUGAGACACGGCCCAGACUCCUACGGGAGGCAGCAGUGGGGAAUUUCGGACAAUGGGCGCAAGCCUGAUCCAGCAAUGCCGCGUGCAGGAUGAAGGCCUUCGGGUUGUAAACUGCUUUUGUACGGAACGAAACGGUGAGCUCUAAUACAGUUUGCUAAUGACGGUACCGUAAGAAUAAGCACCGGCUAACUACGUG